rnacentral:rRNA from 1 species
AUUGAACGCUGGCGGCAGGCCUAACACAUGCAAGUCGAUCGAGCGGCGGCCGGGUGAGUAAUGUAUGGGGACUGCCCGAUCGAGGAGGAUAACUACUGGAAACGGUGGCUAAUACCGCAUACUAUCGGAUAACCCAUAUGGGAUUAGCUAGUAGGUGGGGUAAAGGCGAACCUAGGCGACGAUCUCUAGAUGGUCUGAGAGGAUGAACAGCCACACUGGGAUUGAGACAGGGCCCAGACUCCUACGGAUGCAGAAGUGGGGAAUAUUGCACAAUGGGCGCAAUCCUGAUGCAGCCAUGCCGCGUGUAUGAAGAAGGCCUUAGGGUUGUAAAGUACUUUCAGCGGGGAGGCGUUACCCGCAGAAGAAGCACCGGCUAACUCCGUGCCAGCAGCCGCGGUAAUUC